UCCUAUAAUAACCUAUAAUAAUAAUAAUCCUACAUUAAUAAACAUAACAAUAAUAAUCCUAUAAUAAUAAUAAUCCUAUCAUAAAUAUAAUGCUAUAAUAAUAAUAAUCCUAUCAUAAUAAUAAUAAUCCUAUAAUAAUAAUAAUCUUAUAAUAAUAAUAAUCCUAUCAUAAUAAUAAUCAUAUAAUAAUAAUACUCAUAUAAUAUUCUAUAAUAAUAAUCCUAUAAUAUCUCACCUCGAACAACAUUUACUUAGUUUUCUUUCACAAGCUAAGUUGUUUUUCAAUGUUUGAGUUUUCUUCAACUGCUAGCGAAUUGGCUACUAAUCAGAUUCUCUAUCUAACAGACAGGACUAGAGCUAGCGGCUUGAGUGCCCUGGUUGCCAGGGUAACCUCCUGCCCUUAAAAGGUCGACAUCUGAACAUUUUAAUCUCAGCUGUGAUAUUUUGAUUAAAAGACUCAGGUCACAAAAAAAUGAAAUAACAUUGAGCAAAAUACCACAUCAAUUCUCACUACUGAUACAUUUAUUAUUUUAGAAACAUUACAAAGCAUGCUCAUCCGGUUUAUUUUAGUUUUAUAGUGAACAAAUAUUUUGGCUGGUAAAAAAAAUCUGAGUGGGUAAAAGUUAGUUUCAGGCCCUGAUCCAAAUGCUUAAAUUAUUUAGCUACUGGGAAACGAGGCCCUGAUCUCUGGACAGGGUCUUCAAAGGGGACAUACAGACACUGUACCAAUUUAACCACAGUCCCAUAUUCCAUCUUCCUCCCUAGGGGAACACAUCUCACAGUGUCACUGGUCUGAUAAUUCUUCGUCUCCCUGACAUCUUGACUCCAUCACUCACAUCACAAGACGUUAUUCACUCUCUCAGAACAGCUCCUCUCACCCCUCCCCUUCCUGUCACAAUCACAGUCCUUUUUCUGCUGAUGUUUACGUCUGAAACGUUUGAAAAGCAAAGCGGGUGUCGUCUCCCCGUCUGUCCCCGCCUGCCGAUAUCCCAGCUGCUUGCCUUCGCCGAACCUUCCCUGAUAAUUGGGAGAUUAUGAUGCAGGAGCCGGGGAAUCGGAGCGUAAACACUGUUUUGCUAUGAUCCGAUUAAUCAUUUCCAAUUGAAGAUGCACAGGAGUAAUUGCAAAGCCACCGAUACCCCUGCUGUCAAAGCUAUGAUGAGCCUUCAGCAACGUUUUCAUGAUGAGCCGAGGGCAAAAAAAUAAAGCAAUGUGAUAAAGUUUCAAGAGAUGUAAGCGAGCUUACUGUAGAGUACCUGUGGUGAUGUGAUGUGACAUGUUAUGUCUUAUCCAAGGGAGAGAAAACCUCUGUCAAGCAAUGGAUGGAUUUGUUUCGUCAGUUGUAUACAGAUGAGUUGAGUUUCUUGAAGAGGAGAGUAGACCAACAGAGCAGGAGGUGACUAGUCCAGUUAUUGAGUGGGCCUAGACUCUAGCGUCCAGGUUCAUUGAUAAUGUCCUAGCGUCCAGGUUCAUUGAUCAUGUCCUAGCGUCCAGGUUCAUUGAUCAUGUCCUAGCGUCCUGGUUCAUUGAUAAUGUCCGAGCGUCCAGGUUCAUUGAUAAUGUCCGAGCGUCCAGGUUCAUUGAUAGUACAGAUUGACCAGCUGAGUAGUCAUUAUUCUAGUUUCUAUCAGCAAGCAUGGUGACUGGUGAGUCAUUGCCAGUUCCUAUAACAUCUCUGCAGGUCAGUCCAAAAGAGAGUGGCAACCAACCGACUUGAUGCUUGGGUUCUGACAACCAAGAGUAGACUUUGCUGUCGCAGAAGAACACCGUGUGACACGACAUCAUCUGUUGGUCAAUGCAACAUCGAUGUUCUGUUCUGUGCGACUUGAUGCUUGGGUUCUGACACUGGGAAAAAAAACACAGGUGCUUCCUAGCACCAUGAGUCUCCAUGGAAACACAUCCUGUGGCCCCUCGCUACAUUGAUGGAUCCGACACUUAAUUUCUACCUUUCACUGACAGAUCUAGGUUGACGUGAGCAAAGUGACUGGCCCUUACGACAUUCACAGGGAGAACAGACUGUAACACAACCAGUGUCAUUUCAGAACAUAUUUUUGUUUUAGUAUGUCCAUGUAGAGUUGGUUCAGGGCCUUGAGAGGUGGUUUGAAGGUUACACCCUCUCGUUACAGUAUCAGUCUGUCUGGUGUAGAAACCACUCUGUCAUUACAGUAUCAGUCUGUCUGGUGUAGAAACCACUCUGUGUUCUACAGUCAUCUUCAGAGAUAUUAUCUACAGUGAUCUGUGUUCUAGAGUCAUCGUCAGAGAUAUUAUCUACAGUGAUCUGUGUUCUACAGUCAUCGUCAGAGAUAUUAUCUAUAGUGAUCUGUGUUCUAGAGUCAUCUUCAGAGAUAUUAUCUACAGUGAUCUGUGUUCUAGAGUCAUCUUCAGAGAUAUUAUCUACAGUGAUCUGUGUUCUAGAGUCAUCUUCAGAGAUAUUAUCUACAGUGAUCUGUGUUCUAGAGUCAUCUUCAGAGAUAUUAUCUACAGUGAUCUGUGUUCUAGAGUCAUCUUCAGAGAUAUUAUCUACAGUGAUCUGUGGAAUCUAGGACGGCUCAUUCAUAAAAUACUAUGUUUGAUUUAUUGGUGUCAAAAACAAGAGAUAUGCUUUGGAUUGCUGAUUUAGCCAAUGAACACACACACACACACACACAAACACACACACACACACACACACACACACACACACACACACACACACACACACACACACACACACACACACACA
ensembl:lncRNA